rnacentral:rRNA from 1 species
CAGUAGCCGCGGUAAUACAGAGGGUGCAAGCGUUAAUCGGAAUUACUGGGCGUAAAGCGCGCGUAGGUGGUUUGUUAAGUUGGAUGUGAAAUCCCCGGGCUCAACCUGGGAACUGCAUUCAAAACUGACUGACUAGAGUAUGGUAGAGGGUGGUGGAAUUUCCUGUGUAGCGGUGAAAUGCGUAGAUAUAGGAAGGAACACCAGUGGCGAAGGCGACCACCUGGACUAAUACUGACACUGAGGUGCGAAAGCGUGGGGAGCAAACAGGAUUAGAUACCCCGGUAGUCCCUGUCUCUUAUAC